GCAGCGGCUUAUAAACAUUUACAUCAUCAGAUACAUUAUUGAAAGCAUAUAAAAUCAAGGGGCUUAACUAUGAUUUGUUGCCAAAGUAGGACUAACUCUAGCUUUGACGCAAGUCUUGCCCCCUAAACAUAUGCAUGCAGUGUUAUGUUUAAGACGGAAUAUUUUUAUAUUUACAAUGGAUGGCAGAAGAAAGUCUUUGAGACUGAUGAAGCAUUUCUGACUAGAUAUUACAUCUUUGAAAAGAUGGGAUAGCUUUUUCCAGUGAAUGUUUUGGAUGAGUUUGUGUUAUUCUUGGCUGCUAUCAGGUGGCAUUAGUUCACAACCAAAGGCUCUUAAAUAAACAUACGAUGUGCUGUAGCGCAGUAGGCUUUCAUUGAAUCCUCAUGUGUGUUUGCUGAGGACAACAAGGAAGAGUAUGUUUAUUGAGGAGAAAACAAGGCAUCUUGGGAUUAAAUUUGUUCUGUUUUUUUGUCAAGUGGGACGGACGGAAUGCUGGAGAAACAAUAUUUCCUAUGCGCUGAAGGGUGUGUAGAAUUGAGGAGGCCUAAUGUGGGGAAGUUAUUAUGGUGAAUUAUUGGAUUGGUCAGUGUUAUUCUUGGUAUCGGUCUGCGACUUUCACUGCUUUGACCGUGAUUUCACGCCCAAAUGUACAAAUUUGAUGUCACGCUGUGGACGUUUUUAUUAAGGUUAUUGACGCAUGAAUCCUGACGUGUUUUGAGCUUCUAUAUAUGCAAUGAAGGAGUUUUCUCAAGCAUCUUAGCCAUUGAAAUUCAUGUGUUGAUCGAACCAUCGAGACUGCCAAAAAGAAAAUUACGCAAUCUUGUCAAAGUAAUGAGGUUCAUUUUGUAUUUUAUAUCUACACAUGCUACCUCAUGUUAAGUUAUUUGGUAUAUC